UACAGAGGGGGCAAGCGUUGUUCGGAAUUACUGGUCGUAAAGGGCGCGUAGGCGGCCCGCUAAGUCGAACGUGAAAUCCCUCAGCUUAACUGGGGAACUGCGUCUGAUACUGGAUGGCUUGGAUUCGGGAGAGGAAUGCGGAAUUCCAGGUGUAGCGGUGAAAUGCGUAGAUAUCUGGAGGAACACCGGUGGCGAAGGCGGCAUUCUGGACCGAUAUUGACGCUGAGGAGCGAAAGCCAGGGGAGCAAACGGG
rnacentral:rRNA from 1 species